AUAGAUACCCGGGUAGUCCACGCCCUAAACGAUGCGAACUGGAUGUUGGGUUCAACUUGGAACCCAGUAUCGAAGCUAACGCGUUAAGUUCGCCGCCUGGGGAGUACGGUCGCAAGACUGAAACUCAAAGGAAUUGACGGGGGCCCGCACAAGCGGUGGAGUAUGUGGUUUAAUUCGAUGCAACGCGAAGAGCCUUACCUGGUCUUGACAUCCACGGAACUUUCCAGAGAUGGAUUGGUACCUUCGGGAACCGUGAGACAGGUGCUGCAUGGCUGUCGUCAGCUCGUGUCGUGAGAUGUUGGGUUAAGUCCCGCAACGAGCGCAACCCUUGUCCUUAGUUGCCAGCACGUAAUGGUGGGAACUCUAAGGAGACCGCCGGUGACAAACCGGAGGAAGGUGGGAUGACGUCAAGUCAUCAUGGCCCUUACGGCCAGGGCUACACACGUACUACAAUGGUGGGGACAGAGGGCUGCAAUCCCGCGAGGGUGAGCCAAUCCCAGAAACCCCAUCUCAGUCCGGAUCGGAGUCUGCAACUCGACUCCGGU
rnacentral:rRNA from 1 species